AUACACAAAUGGCUCUUAUUUCUGAAUAUGUGACAUAAUUUUGUGAAUCUGUGGAAACUGAAUUUUUCUAUGGAGUGCAAAUAUAGGAGGGUUGUUUUACAAUGUUUGUUGUGAAAAGAAUUCACUUUGUAAACAACUAUUAAGGCUGGAAGUUUAGUGAAGGUACAUAGUUUUGAAAGCUACACAGGUGAAAAAUCAAACUUAUUGUUUGUAAUUUUGCUGUUACAUGUUAAGUUACUUUGACAGCAAUUUUCUAAUGAUAAUGUGAUUUAUGAUUUAAAAGGCCUGAACCAAAAUGGAAGUUAUUCCUUGCGUCUGAAGUAUAGCACCAUCACCUUAUUAGGUCACAGCAGAGUGAGUGUCCCAAUGUCGCUCUGACCCAACUCCCUUGAUGAUGCAGUGUGUGUUUGGAGAUAAAUGAUAUAACAUUAAACUCAAGGUGGUUGAGUUGCAGUAGGGAGUCGGAAGCAAGCCAAGGGAACAUCUUUCUCUACAGGGGACUUGGCGAUUCCAAACCCCCAAGGUUCCAAGAAGAAACUGAAGACACCUGGAAUCUGUACUUGCUUUGUGCUAUUGAGCUGUGCUUGUUAUAUGGACCUUGUUGCUUGACCAACAGAUUUAGCAUUUAAAAACCUAGUUAUUUUUGAGAAAACUUGACCUCUUAGCCCUUUGUGGACAGUUGAGAAUUCGAGGCAUUGUUAUAGUAGAUUUUCCUUAUGUAGAAGUCAGGCUUUCAGCUUAGUCUUCAAAAGUUACAGAGUGCAUGCAUAACUUGUUAGUUUUCAUAACUGGACGGUAGAUACUUUAUAGAAAGCUAUCUUAUAGUGGUAGAGAAGUGAAUAGUUUAUGUACUUUUUCAGUUUCUCAUUGGGGGAAAAUUUCCAGGCAAGCAAACACUUUCCUUGUUAGUAAAUGCAGGAAUUUGUGGAUGUUCAUGAUGGUUUUUAAAGUUAAUAAAUGUAAGGCCCACUAACAGCCACAUAGUCUAAAAAUACUUACGAAAUCCACAAAGGAUUAACAGGCUGCUCUGAUGCUUUUG